GAUGAACGCUGGCGGCGUGCCUAAUACAUGCAAGUCGAGCGAACGGACGAGAAGCUUGCUUCUCUGAUGUUAGCGGCGGACGGGUGAGUAACACGUGGGGAACCUACCUAUAAGGCUGGGAUAACUUCGGGAAACCGGAGCUAAUAACGGAUAAUAUUUUGAACCGCAUGGUUCAAAAGUGAAAGACGGUCUUGCUGUCACUUAUAGAUGGAUCCGCGCUGCAUUAGCUAGUUGGUAAGGUAACGGCUUACCAAGGCAACGAUGCAUAGCCGACCUGAGAGGGUGAUCGGCCACACUGGAACUGAGACACGGUCCAGACUCCUACGGGAGGCAGCAGUAGGGAAUCUUCCGCAAUGGGCGAAAGCCUGACGGAGCAACGCCGCGUGAGUGAUGAAGGUCUUCGGAUCGUAAAACUCUGUUAUUAGGGAAGAACAUAUGUGUAAGUAACUGUGCACAUCUUGACGGUACCUAAUCAGAAAGCCACGGCUAACUACGUG
rnacentral:rRNA from 1 species